AUUGAACGCUGGCGGCAUGCCUUACACAUGCAAGUCGAACGGUAACAGGUCUUCGGAUGCUGACGAGUGGCGAACGGGUGAGUAAUACAUCGGAACGUGCCCGAUCGUGGGGGAUAACGAGGCGAAAGCUUUGCUAAUACCGCAUACGAUCUACGGAUGAAAGCGGGGGAUCUUCGGACCUCGCGCGGACGGAGCGGCCGAUGGCAGAUUAGGUAGUUGGUGGGAUAAAAGCUUACCAAGCCGACGAUCUGUAGCUGGUCUGAGAGGAUGAUCAGCCACACUGGGACUGAGACACGGCCCAGACUCCUACGGGAGGCAGCAGUGGGGAAUUUUGGACAAUGGGCGAAAGCCUGAUCCAGCCAUGCCGCGUGCAGGAUGAAGGCCUUCGGGUUGUAAACUGCUUUUGUACGGAACGAAAAGCCUCUUUCUAAUAAAGAGGGGUCAUGACGGUACCGUAAGAAUAAGCACCGGCUAACUACGUGCCAGCAGCCGCGGUAAUACGUAGGGUGCAAGCGUUAAUCGGAAUUACUGGGCGUAAAGCGUGCGCAGGCGGUUUUGUAAGACAGAGGUGAAAUCCCCGGGCUCAACCUGGGGACUGCCUUUGUGACUGCAAGGCUGGAGUGCGGCAGAGGGGGAUGGAAUUCCGCGUGUAGCAGUGAAAUGCGUAGAUAUGCGGAGGAACACCGAUGGCGAAGGCAAUCCCCUGGGCCUGCACUGACGCUCAUGCACGAAAGCGUGGGGAGCAAACAGG
rnacentral:rRNA from 1 species